rnacentral:rRNA from 1 species
UACGUAGGGUGCGAGCGUUGUCCGGAAUUAUUGGGCGUAAAGAGCUCGUAGGCGGUUUGUUGCGUCGGCUGUGAAAACUCGGGGCUCAACCCCGAGCCUGCAGUCGAUACGGGCAGACUAGAGUGCUGUAGGGGAGACUGGAAUUCCUGGUGUAGCGGUGAAAUGCGCAGAUAUCAGGAGGAACACCGGUGGCGAAGGCGGGUCUCUGGGCCGUAACUGACGCUGAGGAGCGAAAGCGUGGGGAGCGAACAGG